rnacentral:rRNA from 1 species
AGUGAACGCUGGCGGUAGGCCUAACACAUGCAAGUCGAACGGCAGCACAGUAAGAGCUUGCUCUUACGGGUGGCGAGUGGCGGACGGGUGAGGAAUACAUCGGAAUCUACUUUUUCGUGGGGGAUAACGUAGGGAAACUUACGCUAAUACCGCAUACGACCUACGGGUGAAAGCAGGGGAUCUUCGGACCUUGCGCGAUUGAAUGAGCCGAUGUCGGAUUAGCUAGUUGGCGGGGUAAAGGCCCACCAAGGCGACGAUCCGUAGCUGGUCUGAGAGGAUGAUCAGCCACACUGGAACUGAGACACGGUCCAGACUCCUACGGGAGGCAGCAGUGGGGAAUAUUGGACAAUGGGCGCAAGCCUGAUCCAGCCAUACCGCGUGGGUGAAGAGGGCCUUCGGGUUGUAAAGCCCUUUUGUUGGGAAAGAAGAGCAGCAGGUUAAUACCCCGCUGUUCUGACGGUACCCAAAGAAUAAGCACCGGCUAACUUCGUG